rnacentral:rRNA from 1 species
GGUUAAGUUAGUAAGGGCGCACGGUGGAUGCCUUGGCACUAGGAGCCGAAGAAGGACGUGACAAACGACGAAAUGCCUUGGGGAGCUGUAAGUAAGCGUAGAUCCAGGGAUGUCCGAAUGGGGGAACCCAAUAGGUAGAUACCUAUUACCCGUAUCUGUUAAGGAUAUGAGGAGGAAGACGCAGUGAACUGAAACAUCUAAGUAGCUGCAGGAAGAGAAAGCAAAAGCGAUUGCCUGAGUAGCGGCGAGCGAAAGGGCAAGAGGGCAAACCGAGAAGUUUACUUCUCGGGGUUGUAGGACUGCGAUGUGGAUUUAAAGAUUAUAGAAGAAGACCUUGGGAAAGGUUGCCAGAGAGAGUAAGAGCCUCGUAUUUUAAAUAAUCUUUAUACCUAGCAGGAUCCUGAGUACGGCGGGACACGAGGAAUCCCGUCGGAAUCUGGGAGGACCAUCUCCCAACCCUAAAUACUCCCUAGUGACCGAUAGUGAACCAGUACCGUGAGGGAAAGGUGAAAAGCACCCCGGGAGGGGAGUGAAAGAGAACCUGAAACCGUGUGCCUACAACAAGUUCGAGCCCGUUAAUGGGUGAGAGCGUGCCUUUUGUAGAAUGAACCGGCGAGUUACGUUAUGAUGCGAGGUUAAGUUGAAGAGACGGAGCCGUAGGGAAACCGAGUCUGAAGAGGGCGGUAUAGUAUCAUGAUGUAGACCCGAAACCAUGUGACCUACCCAUGAGCAGGUUGAAGGUGAGGUAAAACUCACUGGAGGACCGCACCAGGGCACGUUGAAAAGUGCUUGGAUGACUUGUGGGUAGCGGAGAAAUUCCAAACGAACUUGGAGAUAGCUGGUUCUCUCCGAAAUAGCUUUAGGGC